GAAUGAUGGCAGGAAAGCUGGUCAAUAUCAAGCUUCACACUCGAAGGUCACAACGCGUGGUGAAAGGAUCCAGAAGUCUGUGUACUUGUGAGUGCAGAAGUCCCAAUGCUACAAGCCCAGGUCCAUUGUCUUGAUUGUAGAUCGCAGAUGCUUCCCUUUUUUUGUCACUCAACAAAAAAUUGUCUUUUUUCCCCUUGUAUAAAUUUGCACUGCAACAUUUGAUAUGGUUCUAUGAGACUUGGGCAAUAUGUGAUUGUGUAAGUAAGAACCAAG
rnacentral:misc_RNA from 1 species